rnacentral:rRNA from 1 species
GAUGAACGCUAGCUGCAGGCUCAACACAUGCAAGUCGAGGGGUAACAAGAGGAAAGCUUGCUUUCCUUGUUGACGACCGGCGCACGGGUGAGUAACGCGUAUCCAACCUGCCUAUAACUAGGGAAUAACCUUGCGAAAGUAAGACUAAUACCCUAUGAUUUCCUUUGAUGACAUCAGAUUAGGAAUAAAGAUUUAUCGGUUAUAGAUGGGGAUGCGUCUGAUUAGCUUGUUGGCGGGGUAACGGCCCACCAAGGCAACGAUCAGUAGGGGUUCUGAGAGGAAGGUCCCCCACAUUGGAACUGAGACACGGUCCAAACUCCUACGGGAGGCAGCAGUGAGGAAUAUUGGUCAAUGGGCGGAAGCCUGAACCAGCCAAGUAGCGUGCAGGAUGACGGCCCUAUGGGUUGUAAACUGCUUUUAUACAGGAAUAAAGUUAGCCACGUGUGGUUAUUUGUAGGUACUGUAUGAAUAAGGACCGGCUAAUUCCGUGCCAGCCGCCGCAGUAA